AGCAGCCGCGGUAAUUCCAGCCCCAAUAGCGUAUAUUAAAGUUGUUGCAGUUAGAAAGCUCGUAGUUGAAUUUUGGAUUCUGCCAAUUGGUCCAUCUUUUAGAUGAGUACUGGUUGUGUGGGGUCUAUCCGCCUGGUGAUACGUAAUGUCCUUUAUUGGAUGUUGCGGGUAGUCAGGACCUUUACCUUGAAAAAUUAGAGUGUUUAAAGCAGGCUUAUGCCGGAAUACAUUAGCAUGGAAUAAUAGAAUAGGACGAAGUUGUUUUAUUUUGUUGGUUUCUAGGACAACCGUAAUGAUUAAUAGGGAUAGUUGGGGGCAUUAGUAUUCAAUUGUCAGAGGUGAAAUUCUUGGAUUUAUUGAAGACUAACUACUGCGAAAGCAUUUGCCAAGGAUGUUUUCAUUAAUCAAGAACGAAAGUUAGGGGAUCGAAGACGAUCAGAUACCGUCGUAGUCUUAACCAUAAACUAUGCCGACUAGGGAUCGGGCGAUGUUGUUUCC
rnacentral:misc_RNA from 1 species